CCCGAGUUUUCACAAAGGCAUCUUCACGGCAAAGAGUCGGCACGCGGGGCAAUGCCUAGAUAACAAGGAGAGACAGAUGUUAGAAGUCACCAUCCUGGUCCCUUUUGAUCAAACGGUGCUCCAGCCAGGUCAGGGUUUACCAAAACAUGGCAGACAAAAGAAAAAAGAUGGACAUCAGGACAUUUUUUCUAGACUCAAAACACCAAUGUACAACAAUAAAACAAUCUGUGGAGGGCAGCAGCAGCGACACACAGAGGGGCAGAGGCUGGGAGUCUCAGGCUUAAAUGAUUGCCCCUUUGGACUAUGUUGAAGCCCAGCAAGAAGAUUGAGUAAAAUAGUAAGUUUGUCAAUACUGAAGAAAUCAGGGAAAUUUUUGUCUAUACAACUGGGAAAAAAUAAUAACAAUCAGG